GCCUGACUUGCUAGUGGAUUAUUAACCAGCUGCAAAGAGAGAAAAGAUCACCGUGAAAACCACCGAGAGGCACAGGCACAGCACACGGACACAACAUUGACUCUGGGGAGGUAGUUCUCGCCUCAAUUCGCUCAUGCAAAGGGCCUGGAACCCACCGGAGGGGCGUGGCGAACAUUCCCCCGGAAGCUCUGGGUUUCUUUCAGGGACAUCGAGCGAGGCAGGUGUUCCACCCCACUUUCUUGUUUGAGGGGAGAAGGAAACCAAAGCCAGUAGAAAUGGAAUUUAUGGCCUCCGUGCUCUCAGAGGGAGAAAAAAAUUCUCACUCAUCAGCCUAAAGAGAAACCCUGUCUUAUCCCAGAUUACCACCAUGGGAUUUAAAAUUCAGUGAGAAGACUGCUUGGGAAAUACUGUCUCCGAACUGCCGGUACAGACACUGCCCAUUGGUACAAUAUUUUUAGGUCAUCUGUCAAUUGCCAUGUUUGCAUUUCUUUCAUGCAAUACAAGUUGAAAUCAUAAUGAAUUUCUUGAGUUUCAGGAAUAUCUCAAAAUAAACUUCUUCAUCCUCAACAAAUGAUUAAAUUAUGUUCAGUUGGAUCUUAAUGUUGACUAUGGAUUUG
rnacentral:lncRNA from 10 species